UUUUUGUUAUAGAAAGGUUUUGAAAACCUUUAUAGGUUAAAAAUUUAACCACUUAGUG
rnacentral:tRNA from 1 species